ACGGGGUGCAGCAGGCGCGAAAACUGGCCAAUGCGCGAAAGCGUGAGCCGGCUAAUCCGAGUGAUCUCCCAUCGGAGAUCUUUUGUUAUGUGUUCACAGCAUGACGAAUAAUGAGAGGGCAAGACUGGUGCCAGCCGCCGCGGUAAAACCAGCUCUUAGAGUGGUGGGCAUGAUUAUUUGGCUUAAAGGGUGCGUAGCAGGACAGCGUAAGUCCCCCGUGAAAUGCCAGGUCUUAAGCUUGGCGCGGGCGGGGGAUACUGUGCGUCUUGGGACCGGGAUAGGUAUAAGGUAUGCAUUGGGUAGGGGUGAAAUCCGAUAAUCCAAUGCAGACCGCCGGUGGCGAAGGCGUUAUACUGGAACGGGUCCGACUGUGAGGCACGAAAGCUAGGGUCGCGAGCCGGAUUAGAUACCCGGGUAGUCCUAUGCUGUAAACGAUGCUCACUAAGUGUUAGGCAAUGCAAGACAUUGUCUAGUGCCGAAGGGAAACCGUUAAGUGAGCCGCCUGGGAAGUACUUUCGCAAGAA
rnacentral:rRNA from 1 species